rnacentral:tRNA from 1 species
GGUUAUGGCUCAGUGGCAGAGCACUUGCCUCAAACAUGAGGGCACUGGGUUCAAUCCUCAGCACCA